ACCCAGUGAACCAAGAUGUUCUUUCAAAAUAUUCAGGGAGAAAUCGGUCAUUUCAGUAUUCCAGUCGUCGUUGAGCUCUCUGUCAGUGGAUUCUCGUCCCGAUCCCGGACUUCUCUUCCGUUCUAGGGCUCGCUCCAAAUCUUCCCUCCCGAAAUUCCGGGGAAAUAUUAGGGGAUAUGGACGGAGACAUGAAAGUUUCUCUCGACAAGCUUCCCGUCAAGCGCUUGGAGGCCAUAGAAGAAAACGGCCUCGAACGAUUCCCAUUAGAUGUAGGUUAUGAAGAGAAACGGUUGUCGCUUAUUCGGAGAAUUGACUUUGCUUGGGCAAUUGAGAAGGACGAUGACAAAAAGAAGCAGAAGAAGAGCUCCAAGGAGAGUUCAACGCCGUGGCCAUGGCAGAAUAUGAUAGAAAACUUGCAGCUGGCUCAUCAAGAACUCUCUGUUAUCAUAGACCUCAUCAACACCGUGGAAGCUAAUGAUGCAGUAACAGUGGCUGGGAUGACUAGGCCGAAACCAUUACCAAAUGAAGUUUUAUCAGAUCUUGGAGUGUCUGUAGCAACGAAACUGCAAUGCUUUCGACAUCUUGGCAAAUAUUUCAAGCAGUCAGCUAAAGGUUUGGAACGCCAGGUUGCAAGGGAAGCAAGAUUUUAUGGUGCUCUAAUUAGAUUGCAGCAAAAUUGGAAGGUUAAAAGGCAGCGUGUGGCUGCCCCAGCUCCUGCAAAUGAAGGCUUUACCAUUGAUUUAUUUGACAAUUCAUCAUGUGAUCCUUCCUCUGUGUUUCGACCAUCUUCAUCUACUAUUCGUGUCGAUCAUGAUUCAUCUGGAAUGCUGGCUAUUAAUUUACCUUCAAAUUCUUGCCACUCCAUCCGUUUUGGAUUUCUCAGUGGAUGUAAUGUGGAGAAUCCUCUGGAACGUGGUAAAAAUGAGUCCACAAAUUCAUCCAAUCAGUCUUCAAUCAAAGGUGAGGAGUUUACAAAUGACGAUGAAUACAUUAAGGAAACAAACUCACUUCUCCGUGAAGUUCACCAUGCCAUUUUCAGUGAGCAGGUGUUUGAUUUGGUGAAUCGCGAAGCAUUCAAUCCAUCCUUGGGUAUCAAUGUCACUGGAAUACGAGAAAAUUACUUGCAAUUAAGUAUAGAUCAGAGUACCUCGGUCUUCAUCUCUCUCGUGCCAUCUAGUAAAAGUUGCCAAAUAGUUGAUGGUGCCAAUACCAAGAUUUUGGAUAAUACAAAUUUACCUUUUGAUUCACUUGAUGGGAUUGAAUUACCAGAUAGAAGUGACUCCCUUGAAAAGAAGUUGCGGAAUCCUAAUCAUAUAAAUUUUGAAAUAUAUCUGCAGCAAAUUUUCCAUGAGCUAGUAUUUGUAAAAUCAAAUGAUAGACCCAUUUCUGCAUUAAGCCGCCAAUUAAGUCAACCUUCUAAUGAUGGUUCUGGACUUCUUGGUCAUUUCUGUUUGUCUCUUGCCCACAGGAUAUUUGCAAACAGUGUUCUUAUGGAGCUCGAAAAUGUGGUCUGGAAGGUCCCAUGUCUUCAAUUAAUUUCUCAUCCCACUUGGAAUUCUCGAAAAUCUUCAUGGACCUUCUUCAUGGAAGUUCCCCGGUCCAUUGUUCAUCCUAAUGGCAUCCAAGCUCGUACAUCAGACCGUCAUCAGAUGAAGAAUGUAACCAAAUCACAAUUUCAGACUAAAGUGGUGGUAAAUGAUGAUUGUAUCACAAUUGAAGGGGAAGGUGCUCCUAAUGUCGUUGGCCUGUGCAAGGGAAAUUCCAAGAAUAUCUACUCAAUGAACAGAUAUGGCUGCGACUUGGCUGAUCUUCCCGUGAUAAUUCUGUUGCAGGUUGCUGGCCAAAUUAUUCUUUGGCUUCAUGGGGAAGCUCUAACCUGGGGAAUAAAGGCAAACCGCGACUUCCUAAGUCUAUCCUUUGAGUUAGAACAGGGCGAAACACUCCGUCUUGUAGCCCAUGUCGACCCAGAAGAUGCUCAAGGCUGCCUUUCCUGGUGGUUGGUCAUGGACGAUGACCUGAUGGAGGACAGGAAACUUAAUUUUGACAUUUCAGAUGUUGUACCUGAAUACAGGAAGUUCUUGGGGUAUUUAUCACUGGAAGUUUUGCAUUCAACACUAAUGGAUUUGGUUAGCUUGUGCAGUGGAUUUGGGGGUGGCCUAUGACCAUGCUUACUUUCCGGAAUGUUCUUUGGAGGUGGCCACAUGACCUGGAUGGCUGGAAGCUGACAUCAGGAGGAAGAAACCAUUUGGAAACGCUUCUCUUCUACCUUGACAAAAGACAAU